rnacentral:rRNA from 3 species
GGUGGCGGCUAUACUGGAGUUGUCCCACCCGUUCCCAUUUCGAACACGGAAGUGAAAUGCUCCAAGGCCGAUGGUAGUCCUAAUAGGGCGAGAGUAGGUAGCCGCCACCG